rnacentral:lncRNA from 1 species
CUUUAAAUACCAGUGUUGGCAUGUGAAACUCUUCAGUAGAGAACAGAAGUUUACACAACAGGAACCAAAACUACGGAGUCUGGAACCAUGAGGACGUUCAUUCUGCUUGCCUGCAUACUUCCAGCUGUCUAUUUGAUGCCAGUCCCAUCUGAGCAAUACGGCGGAAGCUCAAGUUAUGAGGGUUUUAGUGCAUUCUACCAGCCAGCAAUUCAAAUCCCACAGCCAAUACCUAUUCCUAUUCCUUAUGACCCAACGCUGGGAACUGGUCUGCUGGGUUUGGGCUAUGGGUAUGGAGGCUAUGCUGGCUUCAAUGGAUACAAUGGAUAUAAUGGAUAUAAUGGAUAUAAUGGAUACGGAGCAGUUCCAUAUGGUCUAAGGGCACCACGGACAUUUGGCUGA